CCUCCUGUUUAUGUGGUAGUUACAAAUUGGUUGAACCACUUACAAAUUCAGCAGUGAAACCUAGUGUGUAAAAGGAAGGAUAGAAUAUCAUGCCUGGCAGAUCUCAAUCUGUCUCUUCAAGUCAAAGUUCUGAUUUUGAACUUCCUCCACUAUUAAAGCCCUUUCCAAUGCACUUCGCAGAAUCCUCUCCGCUUCAAGCAAUGCUGACUCUUUUGACUUUCUUCAAGAGGAGCAAUGAUGCUCUCCAACGGAACAGAAUCAUCAUCCCGUUGAUCUUCGUGUAACCUUCUAAGAGCUGCUUCUGCAGCGUAUUGUGCAGCCUGUGCGUCUUCUUUUUCAUCGGCAAGUUUCUUGAUUUCAAGAUUCUGCAUAUGAUCAUAUUUUUGAAAGAUGCGUUAGAGUCCAGCAAUGUUGUUCACUCUUCCAACAUAUACUAUUAGCUCAAUUACACACCUUGUGUUCAAUGAUAUCCUCCACAAUUCGAAGUUUUUCAUCCAGUUUAUUUAUUUCAGUUGUCAGCUGAAAUUGGAGUAAAAAGAUUCACAGAAAUAUUAGUAGGAAUUCAGAGAAAUUUAUACGUAUUUUUCUCUUACAAGUAUGCCGUGAAACUGAAUUUGUUGUGCACACUUUGGUUUAUCAUGAGUUGAACACCUUACGAUACAUGUGGAUUAUAGCAGCUAAUCAUGUUUCCAAGUUUAAAUUAUAUGGGGUGUUGUGUGUGAUAACUGAUAUGGAAUCUAGAAGGAUAUACCUGUUCUAUAGUCUUUUCUUUAAGAGCUUCAGCUGCCCUUAAGGUCUUGAUUUCACACUGGCAAGUGGCUAGUUCCUUGAUUUUUUCUGCAAUCAUGAGGUCAAAAUUUAGUACAGCAUAGACAGUUGACUUGGAAAAAGUACUAAAGAUCAUUCUUAUACAGUAUUCAUCUUGUCCAUUUUGGGUAUGCAUAAGAGAAGUAUCAUUCCCUUGCUAGAUGGUAUAUGCAAUCUGUGAAGCCGAAAUUAUUUGAGAAUGAUGAAAGUCAGAAGAAAAUAGUGGUGGGGUCGGCUUUUAAAUGACCAGAGGAACCUGGUCAAGGCUCUUGGAAAACCAAAAGUGAGAGAAAAUAAUGCAGAAAAGAGGGAAGAACAAGACAGAGAUAUGAACCUUUGAGCUGGUUUUGCAAACGAUCAAUCUCCAGCACAGCUGGGUCUGUCUGCACAAGUGGAAGCUCUUCUUCAACAUGUUCUUCGUACCCUACCAUUCUUGCUUCUUUGAAACAUAAAAAUGCAGAGACAGGUUCGUACAAUUCAACAAUGAGUUGGGAGAUUAGAGGGUUAUAUAUAUAUAUAGUAAUAUUUGUUUUGGUUUGGUUAUGGGUGGUGGAUAAAAGGACAAAAAUGCAGAGUCCAAAAUCACCAACAACAAAGGUGCGCUAGGUGGGUUAAAUAAAUAAGUAUGAUAGAAGUUUCUGUACAAAGAUGACUGAAUCCACUCGUAUAAAGAAUUGACGGUAAUGAAAUGACCUUGCUCUAUGUUGAAGCAAGCAUGACUGGGCUUCAAGUAAGAUGUGAAAAAUGCAUAAAUAUUAAUUAUUUUGGGCUAAGGAAGGGGAAAAAAAAUGCUGUUAUCCAACUGUUGUAGCUUUGUCACCUAGGUGAUGACAGUGACUGAGGGUAGGUCUUCUACAAAUUGCUUGAGUAGUUUUUUCUUCCCCAUUUUUUUAAAAAAUGUUUUUAUUUCUUAUAAUGUUCUAGAACCUUUUUAUUUUUUAUUUUUUUGCGCAUUAAUUCAAGUGUGUUGGGUUUGGGAAAUUUAUUAUUGUUAGCAAAAGCCUCAUGUGGGUCAAAUAAUGCUAGUGCUAUAUAUUUGCAAAAUUAAAGAUCAAAUUAUAAAUAUUAAAUGUAUACUUAGUUUUUAGUUCUAUGUAAACAGCAAGCUAACAACAGCAUACUGGAAUGUAAAUUACUUAUGUUAAAAUAGAGACCAAUUUUUUUUUUAAAUCUAUAAGUACUUACAAUAAAAAGGUGGUACUAGAAUUUGAAGCAACGUAACCAAUAUAAUAGAGGAAUAUUGGGAAAUAAUAUGAUGAACAAUGAAUUAUGACAUUGUCAUAGUCUGUCUAUGUCAAUGGAAACAAAGCAGCAUAGGAUUGUUGAAUUGCUUAAGCGCUAAAAUAGUGCUUAUAUCAUUCUCUUUUCUAAAGUCAGACACUCCAAGAUUGUAUUUCUAACUACGAAACCAAAAUGAAGCAGUCAUGACUCUACUUUGAAAGCAAUGAACUAAAGUGGCUUCAAAGGACAAACUUACAUAUUUUCAUAUUUAUAUCACCCAACUUGUCAAUUAAUGCCAUCUUUGCUUAAAAGUUUAAUUUCAAUAAAAUUUAAAACCAGCUUCUCUCUGUUUUCCCCCUUAAAAGCACAUUGCUACACUUGGCAGUACUUGGUCUGCACAUUUUCAGGUUUAACAUGGCGACCAAGGAAGAUUUCACCAACAACAACUACUACUUAUUUCAAGACCAAAGAC